GAAGCAACAACUUUUAGUCUGUUAUUUGCAGCAUUUAUGUUCGCAGCCUUCGACUGUUCGUGACACAGAUUUAGAGUCUUACCACCAACGUGAUCAUUUGAUCCUAAAACCAACAAAUAACGGUGAAAAACAACGACUUUUAGUCCAUUACUGGCAGCAUUUCUGUUUGCAGCCCUCAACUGUUUGCCAUUUAGAAACAUUUGGAUCCUGACUACAGACUCCAACAUGUCUCAAGGUGAAGAACCAAAACGUCAAGAAGUUGACCCCGGCGCUCUUCCCUGGGAUGAACCAGAAGACCCUUACCUCUCCUCUCUUCCCUGGGCUGAGCAAGUUGAAUUAGAGGAGAAGCGCUUGGCAGAAAUGGAGAAUGAAAAUCUUCUUAACAGAGAGAAGAUUGUCUUAUUGAUGGAGGAAAAUGAGAGACAGAGCGCUCAAUUACAAAAAAUGUCCUACCUGCUCCAAGAAAAGGAGAGUAUUAUUGAUGAAAAACAGUGGGAUAUCAAAGACAUGGAGGAAAGGAACCAAGAGCUCCAAGGAAAGCUGGAUGAAGCUCUAGAAAAAAUUAAAGAAAUCCUCCAGGAGAAGAAACAACAGGACAUGAGAGAAAGACAGUUGCACGAUCAACUUGAAAAGAUGGAGAUCAAAUACAGAGUGGUAAAAGCAAGGGAUGAUAAAAAUCAGGAAACAAAUAAAGAGGUUCUUCAAGAGAAAAGGCAGCAGCAGAUCAAACAAAGGCGAAUGGGCCGCGAGCUUAAGGACAUCAAGAAACAAACUGACGAGCUGCAAGUAAAGCUUGAUGAAGCUCUGCAAAUAAAUGAAGCGAUCCUCGAAGAGAAAAACCAACAGGACAUAAAGAAGCAAGACAUGGAGAGGCACAUGGAGGGAAAAGACAGGAUGCUGCAGGCAAGGCUUAAAGAAACAAUGCACAAAUAUGAUGAGUUGCUGCAAGAGAAAAAGCAACAGGAGAUGAAAGAAAAAGAAUUACAUUGCAAGAUUCAGAACAUGGAGAAAAACAAUGAAGGCUUGCGAGUAAAGCUCAAUGAAGCUUUGCUAAAAAAUACAGAAAUCCUUGAAGUGAAAGAAGAACUGGUCAUAAACCAGGGAGAAAUGCAAUGCCAGCUCCAAGGCAUGGAAGGAAAAUACAGAGCACUGCAGGCAAUGCAUUAUGAAACACGGAACAAAUAUGAAGAGCUGUGUCAAGAAAAGAACAACAGGACAUAAAGCAGAACGAAGAAAAACUUCUUCUUGUCCAAGACUUUGAGAAGACAAAGCAAAAACUGCAAGAACUUGGCAACAAAAUUAAGCACACAACAGCUGAACUGGAAGGAGAAAAGGAGAAAGUGCAAAAACAGGAGGCAACAGCUAAAGAACUCAAAGAAAGGCUCAAAGAAGAACAAGCCAAAGUAGAAGAAGUGGAAAAAAUAUGCAACAAACUUAAGAAGCAAAAUACAGAAACAGUGGACGAGUUGAGAUCCCUCAUACUAGAGAAGAAAGUGCUUGUGGAAAAGCAACUCAAGAAGAAGAAAAAGUGCUUCCGCUUCUUCC
ensembl:lncRNA